rnacentral:rRNA from 1 species
AUGGCGUGCGUCGACAUCCAUGGCAUGAGCGUGACGCUCACGUUGGUGGACCAGCUGUCGCUCGCCGGGAAGAAGAGAUCCGCCGACGAGGAUCUUGUCCUCGCCGACGAGUCCGAGGCCAGUGGAUGGUCAUCGGCGGUCUCGGACCGCAGGCUCGCCAUGCGCCGCCGGCGAGGUCCGGCUUCCUCUUCCUGCCGCCGCGGCUGCAUCGUGGUGACGGAGCCGCCGGACUGGCGUGCCGAGGAGGCGGUUCAGCAGGUUGCCGCGGAAGAAAUCGAAGGCAUUCUGGAGCGCGAGGCUUUGUCUGUCGAGGAGCUGGUUUACUUCACCAUCUUCUAG